rnacentral:rRNA from 1 species
UACAGAGGGGGCAAGCGUUGUUCGGAAUUACUGGGCGUAAAGGGCGCGUAGGCGGCCGUCUAAGUCAGACGUGAAAUCCCUCGGCUCAACCGGGGGAACUGCGUCUGAUACUGGGUGGCUUGAAUCCGGGAGAGGGAUGCGGAAUUCCAGGUGUAGCGGUGAAAUGCGUAGAUAUCUGGAGGAACACCGGUGGCGAAGGCGGCAUCCUGGACCGGCAUUGACGCUGAGGCGCGAAAGCCAGGGGAGCAAACGGG